rnacentral:rRNA from 1 species
GCGAAGAACCUUACCAAAUCUUGACAUCCUUUGACAACUCUAGAGAUAGAGUCUUCCCCUUCGGGGGACAAAGUGACAGGUGGUGCAUGGUUGUCGUCAGCUCGUGUCGUGAGAUGUUGGGUUAAGUCCCGCAACGAGCGCAACCCUUAAGCUUAGUUGCCAGCAUUAAGUUGGGCACUCUAAGUUGACUGCCGGUGACAAACCGGAGGAAGGUGGGGAUGACGUCAAAUCAUCAUGCCCCUUAUGAUUUGGGCUACACACGUGCUACAAUGGACAAUACAAAGGGCAGCUAAACCGCGAGGUCAUGCAAAUCCCAUAAAGUUGUUCUCAGUUCGGAUUGUAGUCUGCAACUCGACUACAUGAAGCUGGAAUCGCUAGUAAUCGUAGAUCAGCAUGCUACGGUGAAUACGUUCCCGGGUCUUGUACACACCGCCCGUCACACCACGAGAGUCUGUAACACCCGAAGCCGGUGGAGUAACCAUUUAUGGAGCUAGCCGUCGAAGGUGGGACAAAUGAUUGGGGUGAAGUCGUAACAAGGUAGCCGUAUCGGAAGGUGCG